GACGAACGCUGGCGGCGCGCUUAACACAUGCAAGUCGAGCGAAGCGGCGGACGGGUGAGUAACCCGUGAGUAACCUGCCUUAGACAUUGGGAUAGCCUCGGGAAACCGGGAUUAAUACCAAAUGGUCUAAGAUGGACUCGCGUCCCAUUAGCUAGUGGGUGAGGUAACGGCCCACCAAGGCGACGAGGGGUAGCCGGCCUGGGAGGUGGAACGGCAACAUUGGACGUGGGAAACGGUCCAAACUCUACGGGAGGCAGCAGUGGGGAAUAUUGCACAAUGGAGGGAGCUCUGAUGCAGCGACGCCGCGUGGGGGAUGAAGGCUGUCGGGUUGUAAACCUCUUUCGCUAUCGAACGGGUAGGUGGAGAAGAAGCGCCGGCUAACUACGUGCCAGCAGCCGCGGUAAUUC
rnacentral:rRNA from 1 species